UCUUUGCGCUGGAUAGCCGCUGGGUUCCGAUUCGUUCGAAGCUCAGAGGAAAGUCCGAACACUUUUUCAUCACCAGUUUUGAAAAAUCGAAAUUUCGAUUUUUCAAAACUGGUGAUGGAAAGCGGGGUAGCGGGUAACGCCCGUCUGGAGCAAUCCAAGAGGUGCGAACAGAGACGCCAAAUUUCGAAAGAUGUUUGGGCGCCUUCGAAAGGGGGCGUAAUCCAGCUCCUGUUUUGAAAAAUCGAAAUUUCGAUUUUUCAAAACAGGAGCUGGGGUGCAACGGCAAAAUCCUUACCUAAGUGCAAGGCCGUGCCCCUCACCAAUUUUAUGUUUUAGAACUUUCUAGAGCCUAAAAUUGGUGAGGGGAGUGCCGCUUGAGUCCCGCGGCAACGCGGGACCCAGAUAAAUGGCUAUACAUCCCUCACCAGUUUUGAAAAAUCGAAAUUUCGAUUUUUCAAAACUGGUGAGGGAGGACAGAAUUCGGCUUAUAGGCGCAAAGACAUC
rnacentral:RNase_P_RNA from 1 species